CAGAAGAUCCAAGACUCCCUCCUCGCUCUCGGUGGACCGGAUUUUGCAACAGUGCUCGCCAAACUGAAGGAGUUCUGUUGGCAGCUUCACUGUCUGGACGAAGAAGCUGCCAGUGUGGGGGAAGACGUGCGGCUUUUGGGCUCCAUAGUGAAUCCAAAGAACCUCCAGGAUUUGUUGGAGAUGGAAUCUGAGUUUCAGGAGAAACUCAGGAACGCUCACCAGAUCUUUGAAGAAGUGGAGGAACAAACAGAGAGAAACAUUCAAGAUCUAAACAGGUAACGAGUGUCACAGAAAUGUAGAAAAAAUUUGAUUUAGUACACUCUUAAACUUAAUUUGAUCUUCAUUGCAGUAAUGUAACAUAAAUGUAUGUUUUAUAACCAUAAAUAUAUGUAAAUAUGUCAUGUUAAAUGUAGAUCCAUCAGUUUGACUCCCGAGGAUGCGGUCGACGGCUCCCAGCAGGUUAUCCACCUCCAGGACCACAAGAGGGCGACAGAGAUCCAGCUCACAACUCGAACUCUGUCUGAGGCUGAGGACUCGCAGGUAACAGGUCUUCCCCCUGUCGUGGUUCCAACAACCUUUACCAGCUGACAUCCUUUUCUUUUCCUCAGGAUUCAGCAGGACUCCAGGAGGAGGAGGAGAUUCCCGCAGAUCUCAGCGGUUUCAGGUCCGCUGGAGUUCAAAAGAAACUGGAGUUUGAUGAAAAUGUAGCAAAGACGUUUGGAGAUUUUAGCAGCCGCCGCGAAGGAUGGAGCAAAACAGAACCCACUUCCUCUCAGGUUAAACUCACUUUAUUCAUUUACAAAAAACAACAAAAAAAAAAACAACCGUUCUAAUUAGCACAUUUUCUGAGUUUUGAGAAUUUGAGUUUA
rnacentral:lncRNA from 1 species